rnacentral:rRNA from 1 species
GUGGGGAAUUUUGGACAAUGGGCGCAAGCCUGAUCCAGCAAUGCCGCGUGCAGGAAGAAGGCCUUCGGGUUGUAAACUGCUUUUGUACGGAACGAAACGGUCCUGGUUAAUACCUGGGGCUAAUGACGGUACCGUAAGAAUAAGCACCGGCUAACUACGUGCCAGCAGCCGCGGUAAUACGUAGGGUGCAAGCGUUAAUCGGAAUUACUGGGCGUAAAGCGUGCGCAGGCGGUUUUGUAAGACAGGCGUGAAAUCCCCGGGCUCAACCUGGGAAUUGCGCUUGUGACUGCAAGGCUGGAGUGCGGCAGAGGGGGAUGGAAUUCCGCGUGUAGCAGUGAAAUGCGUAGAUAUGCGGAGGAACACCGAUGGCGAAGGCAAUCCCCUGGGCCUGCACUGACGCUCAUGCACGAAAGCGUGGGGAGCAAACAGGAUUAGAUACCCUGGUAGUCC